UACGAAGGGGGCUAGCGAUGUUCGGAAUUACUGGGCGUAAAGGGCGCGUAGGCGGUCUUGUAAGUCAGAUGUGAAAGCCCCGGGCUCAACCCGGGAAUAGCAUUUGAUACUGCGAGGCUUGAGUCCGGGAGAGGAUGGCGGAAUUCCCAGUGUAGAGGUGAAAUUCGUAGAUAUUGGGAAGAACACCGGUGGCGAAGGUGGUCAUCGGGACCGGUACUGACACUGAGGCGUGAAAGCGUGGGGAGCAAACAGG
rnacentral:rRNA from 1 species